rnacentral:lncRNA from 1 species
GCCUUUUGCGGGUUUUCACCUUGGCCUCUCCUUUUUCUUUUUUCGUUCUUCUAUUCUAUUCUUUUUUCUUUUCAUUUCUUUUUUUUCAAGUGAAUUAUUUAUUCCUUAAGUCAAAAUUCUUAAGAUUAGGCAGGUUCUUGCCAUCCACCCUAGUUAAUAUCUACGCUUUCUCAGAUAAGGCCUUCCACCGAAGGUCCUUUCCAGUUUGGCAUCCACUUUCUUCUGAAGUCC